UACGUAGGCAGCAAGCGUUGUUCGGAAUUACUGGGCGUAAAGAGCUCGUAGGCGGUUUGUCGCGUCGGCCGUGAAAACUUGGGGCUUAACCCCGAGCCUGCGGUCGAUACGGGCAGACUUGAGUUCGGCAGGGGAGACUGGAAUUCCAGGUGUAGCGGUGAAAUGCGUAGAUAUCUGGAGGAACACCGGUGGCGAAGGCGGCAUCCUGGACCAACACUGACGCUGAGGAGCGAAAGCCAGGGGAGCAAACGGG
rnacentral:rRNA from 1 species